rnacentral:lncRNA from 1 species
AUUCCAGCUGGGACCCAUCAACCACCAACCUCCCAGCAGGACGGUAAUGAGAGCCUCAGUCCUGAAGAGGGCUCUCCCCGCAGCGGACCACGGCGUCCACAACAGAGAGGAGAAGCAACUUGCCUGAGAUCACACAGUCAGUAAGUGAUGGAGCUGAAUUCCAAUCCAGAUGGCCAAAGCCCACAUCUUAGUCCCAAUAAUCGUACGACUGUCUAACAUGUAAAGGGUGUGCUUACUGUGCUGGGCAAGUAAGAGGCGAGCGGGGUGAACGCUGACAUCUACCAGCUGCCCACUGGUCCGCAGACUGAUUCCACCGAGGAGGCCGAGCCCGCCCGGGUCUGCGCUGCCCUGCAGGCUCCCUGCUCUAAGCCCUCAGAACGCCCCGUGCUCAGGGAGCAAGCCCAGCUGGAGGAGUCCAAGGCCGCACCCCUGCUCACAGCCCAAGUCUGCGCAGAGCAGCUGGUGCCAGCACCAACCAGGCAGCCUGGGGUUCCGCCCCACGAUAUCUGCAGAGCUCUCGUCCCUAGGACUUGGGGAGCCUGGGUUUACAGAGCUGUAAGCAGUGGCUCAGCCCUAUUAUCUCCAUUGUCUUGCUCCACCAGGUCUCUUUGAGAGGGCUGCUGGUGAAAAAUGAUUGCACUACACAUUGCAAAACACUGGUGCCGGUUGUGUUCUGCAGCGUCACCAGCCCCAACAGAAGUUGACCUUUGACAGCCAGUCACCCCACAUUCCUCGGAUAUAGUGUGUUGUCUCCCUCUGGGAAGGGUGGGGUGCCCUCCAUCAGUGGCAGUCUGUCCUGGGAACCCAGAUCCUCAUGCCCCAAAGCGGGCAGCUGCAUGGGGAAGGCCGACAUGGAGCAACAGACCUGAGGUCCCCUUGCCAUGCUCUCACCAGGCUCUUUUGUGUCCCACUCAAUGAAGGGUCUCCAUCUGGGAAGGGCCUGCCUCCCCCACCAGCUCUCUAAAGGCAGAGACUGAGCCUGCCCUCUGCCCACUGAGUUGCCUGGAACAUAGCUGGGACCCAAUAAGGUGUUAGCCGAAUGAGUGAAUGCGUGAAUGAAUGAAUGAGAUAAGAUGUUAGUUUUGCAUUCUGAAAGUUGGACUGCUCCUGGGGGAGUUCCAGGAGUGCUGAGUGGCCUGGUCCUCCCUGGCAACUCCCAGACUGUGUCGCUGAGGGAGAAAGGGUUACUGUUGGCGUCAGGGCUGGCCAGUGUCUAUCCGGUCCCGAGGCUGACCCUUC